rnacentral:lncRNA from 1 species
CUAAACCAUUAGGCUGGGGAAAAGCACAGUCAGCCCUCAGCAUCCCUGGGAGAUGGGCUGCAAGACCUCCAAAAUCUGAGGCUGCUCAAGUUGCGUACAGAAUGGAAAAGCAUUUGCACAGAACUUACCGCAUACACUCACAUAUUCUUAAAUCAUCUCUAGAUUACUUGUAACACCUAAUUCAAUGUCAACGCUUUGUAACACUUGUUAUACUGUAUUGUUCAGGGAAUAGUGACAAUAAACAACGAGUCUGUACAAGUUAAGUACAGACAGUUUUUCUCUGAACAUCUUCAGUCUGAAGUUGGCUGAGCUCAGGAUGCAGAACGUAUGGAUACAGAGGACUGAUUGCAGUUCACAAGGCAUUCCCCCAGAGCCGUGUUGUAAGCUCUAUCAGCCCCAAAGCCAUCAGCUUGUAGUAAACUUCCAACAUCCCUUUACUACCUGAAAUAUCAACACAAUAGUGUCAGAGCAGAGCACACGUGUGCCGCUAAUUACAGACGGAGAAACAGAUGGCCUCACCCUCGUGGAAGAUUCGAGGAAAACCUCCGCGGAACGAGGCUCGGGAAAUGGCUCUGAUAGGCCGGCGGCAGAUGGAAGAGAGGCACGCUUUUGUCUCCUGUCUCAGCUGGUCUCCCUACUCUGUCAGGGCUGGAGAAGUCCCCUGUCAUUAGCGCGUCAGAGCAACAGCCAGAAACACAGGGGACGCCCGCACCUUUUUGGCAGCUGGAGAUGCUGGGAGAUUAAAGAAGCUGCGUGGAGGAAACGAGUGCUUCUCUAUAGCGGUUCCUCUUCCCAGCCCCUCUGACGGCGUCUCAGCCAGCGGCUCUCCCUGUGUCUGCUUGGGAGUCGUCUGUGUAUGUGUGUGUGCACGUGCGUGUGCAUGUCUGUGUGCAAGUGCGUGUGUGUGCAUACGUGCGUUUUUCACGUCUCCAUCACCUCCAUGAGUGGGGUAGGUAGAAUCAUGGCCCCCUAAGUGUGUCCCCGCCCCAGUCCCAGAAACCUCUGCCUGUGUUCUAUUGUGUGGCAAAGGGGAGUGAAGGGAGCCGUUGGGGUUGAGGCUGUUGAUGAGCUGACCUCGGAAAAGGAGGUGGCUGUGGACUGCCAGGGUGGGCCAGGAAGGGGGCUCAUGCUGUCCUCAGGUAGGGAAGAGGGAGGCACGGAAUCCUGUCGGGGUGGCUGACUGAGAUGGACUCAGCCAGGCACAGCCGGGCUACAGAUGGCCAUGGCUGUGAGCCACCACGUGGGCUGUGAGCAGCCCUGAGAAGCUGGAGAAGGCAGA